UGUCCAGCAACUCCUAUCCCUACUUUCACGUGGCACUGGCCGAGCUGCGAGCAAUCAACAAAACUACAACGGAUAACCAACCUCGGUGGGAAAUUUGGUUGUAGCUUGACAGGGAAGG
rnacentral:ribozyme from 1 species